rnacentral:rRNA from 1 species
AAUUUUAGAUUGUUGCGGUUAAAAGCUCGUAGUUGGAUUUUGGGCGCAGGCGGCCGGUCCGUCGCAAGGCGUGUACUGGCCGUCCUGGCCUCACCUCCGGUUCUCCGCCGGUGCCCUUGACUGAGUGUCGGCGGCGGCCGGAACGUUUACUUUGAAAAAAUGAGAGUGUUCAAAGCAGGCGAUUCGCCUGAAUAAUGGUGCAUGGAAUAAUGGAAUAGGACCUCGGUUCUAUUUUGUUGGUUUUCGGAGCGCGAGGUAAUGAUUAAGAGGGACAGACGGGGGCAUUCGUACUGUGCCGUUAGAGGUGAAAUUCUUGGAUCGGCGCAAGACGAACGACUGCGAAAGCAUUUGCCAAGAAUGUUUUCUUUAAUCAAGAGCGAAAGUCAGAGGUUCGAAGACGAUCAGAUACCGUCCUAGUUCUGACUAUAAACGAUGCCAACUAGCGAUCGGGGGGCGUUAGUUUUACGACCUCUCCGGCAGCUUGCGGGAAACCAAAGUCUUUGGGUUCCGGGGGAAGUAUGGUUGCAAAGCUGAAACUUAAAGGAAUUGACGGAAGGGCACCACCAGGAGUGGAGCCUGCGGCUUAAUUUGACUCAACACGGGAAAUCUCACCCGGCCCGGACACAGUGAGGAUUGACAGAUUGAGAGCUCUUUCUUGAUUCUGUGGGUGGUGGUGCAUGGCCGUUCUUAGUUGGUGGAGCGAUUUGUCUGGUUAAUUCCGAUAACGAACGAGACUCUGGCUUGCUAACUAGUUACGCGACCCAAUCGGUCGGCGUCUAACUUCUUAGAGGGACUAGUGGCGUUUAGCCACACGAGAUUGAGCAAUAACAGGUCUGUGAUGCCCUUAGAUGUUCGGGGCCGCACGCGCGCUACACUGACCGGAUCAGCAUGUGCUCGCCUUGGCCGACAGGUCUGGGUAACCCGCUGAACCCCGGUCGUGCUAGGGAUAGGGAAUUGCAAUUAUUUCCCUUGAACGAGGAAUUCCCA